rnacentral:lncRNA from 1 species
CUUUAAAACAAUGUGAUAAUCAGCUGGGCGGGACGGCUGCCAAAGACCAUCCUGCUAAUCCUAGGUGGCAGUCCCCUCCCCUCCCCCAUCUCUGAAGCUGCCUGCUCUGGUAGCAGCCCCUCUCGUUCAAGAAGCCAGCCUCCCUGAUCCCCUGGCUCGCUGGGAGGAGGGCACCAGCCCAGGUUCUGUUUUCCCUGCCUCUGGUUGCCAGGGAAACAAGCGAAGAGGACCGCAGCCAGAGAGCUGUUAGCUGCCUUUUUAAGGCGCCCUGGACAUAAACAGCACUUUCCAUAAUGGAAGCUGGGCACGGAGGCUUAAAAAAACCAAAACAAUACAGAAGAGGAGGCUAAAGUGGGAAACAGUCGGGGUGGGGUCCCCACCAGGUUAAUGGGAGAGUAAAAGAAGAAAUAAAAAUC